UACGAAGGGGGCUAGCGUUGCUCGGAAUUACUGGGCGUAAAGGGCGCGUAGGCGGCACUGUUAGUCAGGCGUGAAAGUCCUGGGCUCAACCUGGGAACUGCGCUUGAUACGGCAGAGCUAGAGGAUGGAAGAGGCUCGCGGAAUUCCCAGUGUAGUGGUGAAAUGCGUAGAUAUCGGGAGGAACACCAGUGGCGAAGGCGACUUCCUGGCCUGUUCUUGACGCUGAGGCGCGAAAGCUAGGGGAGCAAACGGG
rnacentral:rRNA from 1 species